rnacentral:lncRNA from 1 species
GCAAUCCUGGCCUCAGUAGAGAAGCCUGUCAAGUGGAGCUGGAGGUCUCUGAUAGAGGAGAACAUGGACACCGUGGUGCCAGCAUUCCUCAGGCUUUGAUCCUUGGACCAGCUUGAUCCUGCAUUCUUACAUUAGUGGGUGAUAGCACUGAACUUCCAGAAGCAGUGGUCUUCAUUUCAUGUGGCAAAUGCUUGUAAAGUGGGUUCUGCCCUUAUAAGUAAAGAACAGAGGAGCGAAAGGUUGGCUUGGAGUACUCGGAGACAGCACUGCUUGACAGAAGAUACCCUGCUAUCCUAAUGUCCUCAAAAGUACAACACCCAAGAGUAUGAACUUCCUGGAGCUGCUUUGCACUUGAUGCAAUCCUGGUCUCAGUAGAGAGGCCUUGCAAGUGGAGCUGGAGGUCUCGGGUAGAGGAGAACAUGGAGUCGGUGGUGCCAGCAUUCCCCAGGUUGGUUGACUAUGUGUUGUGUUUGUGUGUAUGCACGUGUGUGUGUUCAACAUGCCGUGUGUGUGGAUGUCAGAGGACAACAGUAGCUACAUCAUGGAAAUUAUGUGAGUUUAGAAUAUUGAACUCAGGUUGUCAGGCUUUAGAGCCAGCUCCUUGACUCAUUGAUCCAUUUUGCUGGCCCCAUUCUUCACCUUAAUAGUGUCUCCCAAAGCCACAAGAAAAUCAAGAGACUAUCACCCGACCUUAAAUCCCUC